UGGGCCCGCGUUUCAUUAGCUUGUUGGUGGGGUAAUUGCCUACCAAGGCGACGAUGGUUAGCUGGUCUGAGAGGAUGAUCAGCCACACUGGAACUGGAACACGGUCCAGACUCCUACGGGAGGCAGCAGUGGGGAAUAUUGCGCAAUGGGGGAAACCCUGAUGGAGCGACGCCGCGUGGGUGAUGAAGGUUUUCGGAUCGUAAAGCCCUUUCGGCAGGGACGAAGGAUUCCGGUGUUAAUAUCAUCGGAAUCAAGACGGUACCCGCAGAAGAAGCUCCGGCUAACUCCGUGCCAGCAGCCGCGGUAAGACGGAGGGAGCGAGCGUUGUUCGGAUUUACUGGGCGUAAAGGGCGUCUAGGCGGGUCAGCAAGUCAGGUGUGAAAUCCCCCGGCUCAACCGGGGAACUGCACUUGAAACUGCUGGUCUUGAGUACGGAAGAGGAAAGCGGAAUUCCUGGUGUAGCGGUGAAAUGCGUAGAUAUCAGGAAGAACAUCGGUGGCGAAGGCGGCUUUCUGGUCCGAUACUGACGCUAAAGCGCGAAAGUGUGGGGAGCAAACAGGAUUAGAUACCCUGGUAGUCCACACUGUAAACGAUGAACACUAGGUGUCGGG
rnacentral:rRNA from 1 species